GCUGCCCCAGCCAGCAGUGGCAACCCGCUUGGGUCCCCUUCCACACUGUGGAAGCUUUGUUCUUUUGCUCUUUGCAAUAAAUCUUGCUACUGCUCACUCUUUGGGUCCAUGCUGCUUUUAUGAGCUGUAACACUCACCACGAAGGCCUGCAGCUUCACUCCUGAAGCCAGCGAGACCACGAGCCCGCCGGGAGGAACGAACAACUCCAGAUGUGCCGCCUUAAGAGCUGUAACACUCACCGCAAAGGUCUGCAGCUUCACUCCUGAGCCAGCGAGACCACGAACCCACCAGAAGGAAGAAACUCCGAACACAUCCGAACAUCAGAAGGAACAAACUCCAGACGCACCACCUUAAGAGCUGUAACACUCACCGCAAGGGUCCGCAGUUUCAUUCUUGAAGUCAGUGAGACCAAGAACCCACCAAUUCCGGACACAUUUUGGCGACCCAGAUGGGACUUUCGCCUAUCACCAAGCGGUGAGACCAUCACCUAUAGCUGAGCGGUGAGACCAUCACCUAUAGCUGAGCGGCGAGACCAUCACCUAUCACCAAGCAAAUCAAGGCCAUCAAGCUACAGAUGGGCUUACAAAUGGAACCCAAAAUGAGUUCAACUAACAACUUCUACCAAGGGCCCCUGGACCGACCCACUGGCACUUCCCCUGGCCUAGAGUUCCCCUCUGAAGGACACUACAACUGCAAGGCCCCUUCUUCACCCCAUCCAGCAGGAAGUAGCUAGAGCGGUCAUCGGCCAAAUUCCCAACAGCAGUUGGGGUGUCCUGUUUAGAGGGGGGAUUGAGAGGUGACAGCAUGCUGGCAGUCCUCAGCCCUCACUCACUCUUGGCACCUCCUCUGCCCGGGCUCCCACUUUGGUGGCACUUGAGGAGCGCUUCAGCCCACCGCUGCACUGUGGGAGCCCCUUUCUGGGCUGGCCAAGGCCAGAGCCGGCUCCCUCAGCUUCCAGGGAGGUGUGGAGGGAGAGGCUCAAGCGGGAACUGGGGCUGCGUGCGGCGCUUGCGGGCCAGCUGGAGUUCCGGGCGGGCGUGGGCUUGGCGGGCCCUGCACUCAGAGCAGCCAGCCGGCCCUGCCGGCCCCGGGCAGUGAGGGGCUUAGUACCUGGGCCAGCAGCUGUGAAGGGUGUACUGGGUCCCCCAGCAGUGCCAGCCCACCGGCGCUGCACUCGAUUUCUCACCGGGCCUUAGCCGCCUUCCCAUGGGGCAGGGCUUGGGACCUGCAGCCCGCCAUGCCUGAGCCUCCCACACCCCCUCCAUGGGCUCCUGUGCGGCCCGAGCCUCCUCGACGAGCGCCACCCCCUGCUCCACGGCACCCAGUCCCAUCGACCACCCAAGGGCUGAGGAGUGCGGGCGCACGCAGGGGACUGGCAGGCAGCUCCACCUGCAGCCCCGGUGCGGGAUUCACCGGGUGAAGCCAGCUGGGCUCCUGAAUCUGGUGGGGCUUUGGAGAACCUUUACAAUCCCUGAGCUAGACAUAAAUACACCAAUCGGCACUCUGUAUCUAGCUCAAGGUUUGUAAACACACCAGUCAGCACCCUGUGUCUAGCUCAGGGUUUGUGAGUGCACCAAUUGACACUCUGUAUCUAGCUGCUCUGGUGGGGCCGUGAAGAACCUUUAUGUCUAGCUCAGGGAUUGUAAAUACACCAAUCGGCACUCUGUAUCUAGCUCAAGGUUUGUAAACACACCAAUCAGCACCCUGUGUCUAGCUCAGGGUUUGUGAGUGCACCAAUGGACACUCUGUAUCUAUCUGCUCUGGUGGGGCCUUGGAGAACCUUUGUGUGGAUACUCUGUAUCUAAUCUGAUGGGGACGUGGAGAACCUUUGUAUCCAGCUCAGGGAUUGUAAACGCACCAAUCAGCGCCCUGUCAAAACAGACCACUGGGCUCUACCAAUCAGCAGGACGUGGGUGGGGCCAGAUAAGAGAAUGAAACCAGGCUGCCCCAGCCAGCAGUGGCAACCCGCUUGGGUCCCCUUCCACACUGUGGAAGCUUUGUUCUUUUGCUCUUUGCAAUAAAUCUUGCUACUGCUCACUCUUUGGGUCCAUGCUGC
rnacentral:lncRNA from 1 species